CCUACGGGUGGCAGCAGUGAGGAAUAUUGGUCAAUGGUCGGGAGACUGAACCAGCCAAGCCGCGUGAGGGAGGAAGGUACAGAGGAUCGUAAACCUCUUUUGUCAGGGAACAAAGGCGGGGACGUGUCCCCGGAUGAGUGUACCUGAAGAAAAAGCAUCGGCUAAAUCCGUGCCAGCAGCCGCGGUAAUACGGAGGAUGCGAGCGUUAUCCGGAUUUAUUGGGUUUAAAGGGUGCGCAGGCGGACUGUUAAGUCAGCGGUAAAAGGCCGGGGCUCAACCCCGGCCCGCCGUUGAAACUGGCAGUCUCGAGUGGGAGAGAAGUAUGCGGAAUGCGCGGUGUAGCGGUGAAAUGCAUAGAUAUCGCGCAGAACUCCGAUUGCGAAGGCAGCAUGCCGGCUCCACACUGACGCUGAGGCACGAAAGCGUGGGUAUCGAACAGGAUUAGAUACCCUUGUAGUC
rnacentral:rRNA from 1 species